rnacentral:rRNA from 1 species
UACGAAGGGGCUAGCGUUGUUCGGAAUUACUGGGCGUAAAGCGCGCGCAGGCGGUCUUCCAAGUCAGUGGUGAAAGCCCGGAGCUCAACUCCGGAACUGCCAUUGAAACUGUUGGACUUGAGUACGAGAGAGGUGAGUGGAAUUCCCAGUGUAGAGGUGAAAUUCGUAGAUAUUGGGAAGAACACCGGUGGCGAAGGCGGCUCACUGGCUCGUAACUGACGCUCAGGCGCGACAGCGUGGGGAUCGAAACAGG